rnacentral:sRNA from 1 species
UUUUAAGCUUUAGCCUCUUUUUAACAUAUUUAAAAUUGCUCUUCGAAUCACUGAUUCAAAAUGAAAGGCAACAAACAUAUGGUAAUUAACUUAUAAUUGUUUUAAAAGUGUAUUCUUUUCAUUUGUUUUAGGAAAAAGCAGAAUAUGAAAAACAAUUAGAGCAGUUAAACAAGGAUAAUACAGCUUCACUAAAAAAGAAGGAACUCACACUUAAAGAUGUGGAAUGUAAAUUCUCCAAAAUGAAAACUGCUUAUGAAGAGGUUACAACUGAAUUAGAAGAAUAUAAGGAAGCCUUUGCAGUAACAUUGAAAGCUAACAAUUCCAUGUCAAAAAAAUUAACGAA